AUUUAUUUAAAAACUGACUAUGCCCAGAUUUUGGAACAGUAUAAAUGUAAAUUUUGUCAUCAGUUACUCUCAUUUCUUUUCAGACCUGUUUGGCUUUCUUUCACAGCUGACCUUCAUUGUAUGGAUAAAAACAUUUGAAACCAUCUUCAAAAUAUCUUAUUUGAUGUUCUGCAGAAUAAAGAAAGUCAUACAGGUUUGGAACAACAAGAGGUUUUGUCCAUGGUGUGCAUUAAAAGACCUGCAGCUGAGGUUAUAGAUACACUAAGAGAAGAAUAUGAACCCAUUGUUGCCCCUGAUUUGGAAGCUGAAGUCUCUGAUAGUGAUGGCCCAGAAUGCCACCAUGGCCCAGAUGUGACAGAGGGUCAGAAAACUGUCCUCACAGACUUUAGUGAGGAGGAUAGUGAAGAUCGUUUGAGUCGAUGGAGUAAAGGAGACUCUUAUUGGAGCAAAUAUCCUCCUCAAAGCGAAAUCAGGACCACCUCACAGAGCUGUCCAGGGCCUGCAUCAGGGUCUCCAGUAGAGACGGCUAAACAUGCCUGGGAACAUUUUAUAAGUGAAAACAUCAUUGAUGAGAUCCUGCAAUGCAACAAUCUGGGUGGACUGAGAGCAGCGUUAGCAAAAGGCAAAGUGUGGCAAAAGAUCACUAAAGAAGAGCUAAAAGCCUUUAUUGGUCUGAGUCUUCUCAUCGGUGUAGAGAGAAAUUGCAGUGUCCCAAUCUGGGAACUGUUUAUGGAUCCGUUACAGAACCCACUGUAUGAAGCUACCAUGUCUGCUGGUAGAUACCAGGAUCUUCACAGAUUCCUGCGAUUUGAUAACAAGAAAACCAGAAUCGUAAGAGAGGCAUCAGACCACAUGGCAGCCUUCUGAAAUGCGUGGGACCUGUUCAUGAUCAACCGUAGGAAAAUGUUCAUCUGCAGGGAUUGUUUCACUGUGGGUGAGCAGCUUGUGCCAUUCCAGGGAAGAUGCAAGUUUCUGCAACACUUGCCAAGCCACCCAACUGAGAGUGACAUAAAAAUCUUUUGGAUGUGUGAGGCUGAGGUCCCCUAUGCUGUUGAUGGUGUCAUCUACACAGGCAGACAGCCAGGAGAUGAGCCUGACGAGAACCUUGCAGAGAACACUGUCUUGAGGUUGUCCAGUGGACUUCAGCAAAAAGGUCUCAACAUUAAAAUGGACAGCUACUUCACCAGUGUCCCUCUGGCAGAGAAGCAUUUUGAGACAAAUUAUCAUGGUUGGGACCCUUCACCAUAAGAAUCUACAUGUCCCACCAAUCCAUGUCACGAGCACUACAUACCUCCGAGUUUGGUUUUUGUGGCAAAGUAUUCAUGGUAAGCUAUGUGCCAAAACUAAAAAAGCUUGUGAUUUUGUUGAGUACAAUGCAUACCAGUAAUGUGCUGAAUGAAACAAGUGUUUAAAAUAAGCCAGAGGUCAUUCAGUACUACAGCCGCACCAAAGGAGGAGUCAACAGUGUUAAGCAAAUGGCUGAAAAUUAUACCUGAAAGCGUCAAACAAAGAGAUGGUCUAUGCUGCUUUGGUAUAACAUGUUGGAUAUUGCCAUUGUAAACUCCUAUUCCAUUUUCAUUGCUUAGCACCCUAGCUUCAUAGUAGGUGCUCAUAACACCCAACAGUUGUUCAUAAAAGAGCUGGUGAAAGAGCUUGUAGUGCCUCAGAUUCAUAGGCACGGAGAAGAAAGCCCUGGAUUAUCCAUGAACAUCCUUGAGGCCAUGGACAGAUGUGGGAUGGCCACAUCAAUGUCAGCUGUCAAUUCUGUGCUCCAAGAACAGAGCUGUCAGAACAGAAUAAGAAAAAGAUGUUAUUACUGUACAUCUGGAAGAGACAGAAAAGUGACCAAGUUCUGUAGUUAGUCGCCCUUUCUGCAAAGAUCACAGUCACAUGGUGGUUAUUUGCUACCAGUGCAUGCCUUAAGACCCACACAGAAUUUCUAUAUUUCUUUUCUAUUGAUAAUGACUGUACUGCUGACAAGUUCGAUUUCUAAAGGAUUUUUUAAAAGCAGUUAAAUUUGUUAAUUACUUGAAUUGAAUUAAUCUUUGAUUUUUAAUUAUCUUUAAUUGUACAAUGUAAAUUUGAUAUCCAUGUUUUUAGAUAUAAUGUUGAAUUCAUAGAUAUUUUAUCAUUUUUGUGCAUUAAACUUGAUUGAACAUUAAAAUUGAGUUCUUUCCUAAA